AUUGAACGCUGGCGGCAGGCUUAACACAUGCAAGUCGAACGAUGAUUAUCUAGCUUGCUAGAUAUGAUUAGUGGCGGACGGGUGAGUAACAUUUAGGAAUCUGCCUAGUAGUGGGGGAUAGCUCGGGGAAACUCGAAUUAAUACCGCAUACGACCUACGGGUGAAAGGGGGCGCAAGUUCUUGCUAUUAGAUGAGCCUAAAUCAGAUUAGCUAGUUGGUGGGGUAAAGGCCCACCAAGGCGACGAUCUGUAACUGGUCUGAGAGGAUGAUCAGUCACACCGGAACUGAGACACGGUCCGGACUCCUACGGGAGGCAGCAGUGGGGAAUAUUGGACAAUGGGGGCAACCCUGAUCCAGCCAUGCCGCGUGUGUGAAGAAGGCCUUUUGGUUGUAAAGCACUUUAAGCAGGGAGGAGAGGCUAAUGGUUAAUACCCAUUAGAUUAGACGUUACCUGCAGAAUAAGCACCGGCUAACUCUGUGCCAGCAGCCGCGGUAAUACAGAGGGUGCGAGCGUUAAUCGGAAUUACUGGGCGUAAAGCGAGUGUAGGUGGCUCAUUAAGUCACAUGUGAAAUCCCCGGGCUUAACCUGGGAACUGCAUGUGAUACUGGUGGUGCUAGAAUAUGUGAGAGGGAAGUAGAAUUCCAGGUGUAGCGGUGAAAUGCGUAGAGAUCUGGAGGAAUACCGAUGGCGAAGGCAGCUUCCUGGCAUAAUAUUGACACUGAGAUUCGAAAGCGUGGGUAGCAAACAGGAUUAGAUACCCUGGUAGUCCACGCCGUAAACGAUGUCUACUAGCCGUUGGGGUCCUUGAGACUUUAGUGGCGCAGUUAACGCGAUAAGUAGACCGCCUGGGGAGUACGGCCGCAAGGUUAAAACUCAAAUGAAUUGACGGGGGCCCGCACAAGCGGUGGAGCAUGUGGUUUAAUUCGAUGCAACGCGAAGAACCUUACCUGGUCUUGACAUAGUGAGAAUCUUUCAGAGAUGAGAGAGUGCCUUCGGGAAUUCACAUACAGGUGCUGCAUGGCUGUCGUCAGCUCGUGUCGUGAGAUGUUGGGUUAAGUCCCGCAACGAGCGCAACCCUUUUCCUUAUUUGCCAGCGGGUUAAGCCGGGAACUUUAAGGAUACUGCCAGUGACAAACUGGAGGAAGGCGGGGACGACGUCAAGUCAUCAUGGCCCUUACGACCAGGGCUACACACGUGCUACAAUGGUAGGUACAGAGGGUUGCUACACAGCGAUGUGAUGCUAAUCUCAAAAAGCCUAUCGUAGUCCGGAUUGGAGUCUGCAACUCGACUCCAUGAAGUCGGAAUCGCUAGUAAUCGCAGAUCAGAAUGCUGCGGUGAAUACGUUCCCGGGCCA
rnacentral:rRNA from 1 species